UACGUAGGGUGCGAGCGUUAGUCGGAAUUACUGGGCGUAAAGCGUGCGCAGGCGGUUUUGUAAGCCAGAUGUGAAAGCCCCGGGCUUAACCUGGGAAUGGCAUUUGGGACUGCAAGGCUUGAGUGCGGCAGAGGAGACUGGAAUUCCUGGUGUAGCAGUGAAAUGCGUAGAUAUCAGGAGGAAUACCGAUGGCGAAGGCAGGUCUCUGGGCUGACACUGACGCUCAUGCACGAAAGCGUGGGGAGCAAACAGG
rnacentral:rRNA from 1 species